GGAAGUAAAAGUCGUAACAAGGUCUCCGUUGGUGAACCAGCGGAGGGAUCAUUACUGAGUUUACGCUCUACAACCCUUUGUGAACAUACCUAUAACUGUUGCUUCGGCGGGUAGGGUCUCCGCGACCCUCCCGGCCUCCCGCCUCCGGGCGGGUCGGCGCCCGCCGGAGGAUAACCAAACUCUGAUUUAACGACGUUUCUUCUGAGUGGUACAAGCAAAUAAUCAAAACUUUUAACAACGGAUCUCUUGGUUCUGGCAUCGAUGAAGAACGCAGCGAAAUGCGAUAAGUAAUGUGAAUUGCAGAAUUCAGUGAAUCAUCGAAUCUUUGAACGCACAUUGCGCCCGCCAGCAUUCUGGCGGGCAUGCCUGUUCGAGCGUCAUUUCAACCCUCAAGCUCUGCUUGGUGUUGGGGCCCUACAGCUGAUGUAGGCCCUCAAAGGUAGUGGCGGACCCUCUCGGAGCCUCCUUUGCGUAGUAACUUUACGUCUCGCACUGGGAUCCGGAGGGACUCUUGCCGUAAAACCCCCAAUUUUCCAAAGGUUGACCUCGGAUCAGGUAGGAAUACCCGCUGAACUUAAGCAUAUCAAUA
rnacentral:rRNA from 1 species